CCCCCCCGUGGAUGUUGCAGGAAAGGAGAAUCGGGAGGGAGGACAAAGAGGCAAUGUCAGAGUGACUGACAAGCUGAGAUACAACCCAUCAUCAUCCCAUGCCAGUGACUGCAUGAAUCUUCCCAGUCAAAGGACCCAUUUUCAUGAUAGACAGUGCCUGGGGCUGGAGGCUCUACACACCGGGUGUGCCUGUGCAGGCCAAAGACUGCCAGUAUUAGCACAGAAGGGAGGGCAUUCCAUGGGGCAGGAGGCCCUCUCCCUGGUUUCCCUGGAACUUCACUUGUAACCAGCAAGGGAACCAGCAAGAAGACCCCUCGGAGGCGGACCUCCCUGAGCGAUGGGGUGAAGAUGCUCUCUUCAGGUCCACAGGGC